rnacentral:tRNA from 1 species
GCAUUGGUGGCUCAGUGGUAGAAUUCUUGCCUGCCAUGCGAGAGACCCAGGUCUAAUUCCCGGUCAAUGCA